AGUGAACGCUGGCGGUAGGCCUAACACAUGCAAGUCGAACGGCAGCACAGUAAGAGCUUGCUCUUACGGGUGGCGAGUGGCGGACGGGUGAGGAAUACAUCGGAAUCUACUUUUUCGUGGGGGAUACCGUGGGAAACUUUCCGCUACUACCUAAUACAUCCUACGGGUUAAGGCAGGGGUUCUUCGCACUUUGGGCGUUUCAUGUAGCUGAUGUCGGAUUAGCUAGUUGGCGGGGUAAAGGCCCACCAAGGCGACGAUCCGUAGCUGGUCUGAGAGGAUGAUCAGCCACACUGGAACUGAGACACGGUCCAGACUCCUACGGGAGGCAGCAGUGGGGAAUAUUGGACAAUGGGCGCAAGCCUGAUCCAGCCAUACCGCGUGGGUGAAGAAGGCCUUCGGGUUGUAAAGCCCUUUUGUUGGGAAAGAAAAGCAGCAGGUUAAUACCCCGCUGUUCUGACGGUACCCAAAGAAUAAGCACCGGCUAACUUCGUG
rnacentral:rRNA from 1 species